rnacentral:rRNA from 1 species
UAGGGAAUCUUCCACAAUGGACGCAAGUCUGAUGGAGCAACGCCGCGUGAGUGAAGAAGGUUUUCGGAUCGUAAAGCUCUGUUGUUGGUGAAGAAGGAUAGAGGUAGUAACUGGCCUUUAUUUGACGGUAAUCAACCAGAAAGUCACGGCUAACUACGUGCCAGCAGCCGCGGUAAUACGUAGGUGGCAAGCGUUGUCCGGAUUUAUUGGGCGUAAAGCGAGCGCAGGCGGAAGAAUAAGUCUGAUGUGAAAGCCCUCGGCUUAACCGAGGAAUUGCAUCGGAAACUGUUUUUCUUGAGUGCAGAA